UCGAGUCUUUGAACGCAAGUUGCGCCCGAAGCUUUGGCUGAGGGCACGCCUGCCUGGGUGUCACACAUCGCUUUGCCUCCUGAACCUAUCCCCUCUGUAACACCGUGGUGAUGAUCUGGAUGCAGAAGAUGGCCUCCCGUGACCAUGAGCCACGGAUGGCCCAAAUUUGUGCUGGGGAAGCAAAGCGCCACGGCAUUCGGUGGUCGGCAUAGCCCCUGAGGCGUUGAAGGCCGUGGAAGCCGCGAGACUCCCUAGCGUACGACCCUAAUCGUUAACCAAUGCGACCUCAGGUCAGGCGGGGCUACCCGCUGA
rnacentral:rRNA from 1 species